GAGCGGCUGUUCUCCAUGGCACACACGGUGGCUCUGGACCUGGCGGCCAUCAACAUCCAGCGGGGCCGGGACCACGGGAUCCCACCCUACCACGACUACAGGGUCUACUGCAAUCUAUCGGCGGCACACACGUUCGAGGACCUGAAAAAUGAGAUUAAAAACCCUGAGAUCCGGGAGAAACUGAAAAGGUGAGCUGAAGAGGCUGUGUGGGAUGGCUCGUGUACCUAGGCACCUGGAACACCUGAACUGUGGUGUGUGUGUUAUUUGUCUCUGUGUGUGAGUUUUGUUCGUGUCGUGCAGAGGUGAGAUGAAGGUCAAGUCCAUGAAGGUCAAGAUGGGAACCUGCAGCCUCCUGUGGCUGCGUGGUCACCAGAAGACACCAAAACUGACACUGGCUGUUGGGCAGCUUCGGGUUCCUGCUGUUGUAUCAGGGGCAGAGAGAGAGGCAGGGCUUGGUGUCUGCAGAUCCGGGCCCUUGGGGCCACCAGCCCCUAAGUCUUGGCCUGUAGCAUCUUCCAUACUCACUGUGUUGCCCAGACCCAGGCCUGUGGGGCCACCUGCCCAGGACUGCCACAGAUGGCGCCGCUUCUGAGCCACAGCCUUGAUCACCUGUGGGUGCGGUUCUCCUUGUCCUGCCACAAAGGCAAAAUGGGACGCUGUCACCCCU
rnacentral:lncRNA from 1 species